ensembl:snRNA U2 U2 spliceosomal RNA
AAAGCUUUGAAUCAUCUGUUCUUAUCAGGUUAAUAUCUGAUCCGUUCCCCAUCCGGGGACUACAUAUUAAAUGGAUUUUUCGAACAGGGAGUCGGAAAUGGGGCUUACUCCGUCCGCUCCAAGCAUUGACCCGGUAUUGCAGGACCUCCGGGAAUGGUGUAACACUU